rnacentral:lncRNA from 1 species
UCAAGCAAAAGGUUCAUGCUGAUAUACUAGGGCUGUGAAGGGUGGACAUAAGUAGGCUUGGACCGAGGGACCCAAGGAGUCCGGGCGGAGUCAUGGGCGAUCCACAUGGUGCACGGAAGAGUAAGAGUACACGGACGGGAUGGAGACUGUGUCGGUUGAGUCAAGCGGGACGGAGGCGAGUCGAGUAGGCAGCCCGGGAGCCGGGAAAAGAUUUGGAGGCAUCGAAGGCUUGGCGGAGACUGGACACACGUCAACAUCGGUGAGUCAUGUCAUGCGCGGCGUGCAAGAGGGUUUGACCGGUUUGACCUCAAAACUAGGGAUGAGUCACGCCUGCGGGAUGUGCAAGAGGGUUUGACCGGUUUGGCCUCAAAACCGGGGGACGAGUCCGGUGCGAUUUGAUGGCGUCAAGUCAGAGGAUGCGUGGCACCAUCGCGAAGCUUGUGUCGAGGCGAAGCUAAGUCGUGAAGGCGCCGGGUCCGUCCGAUGUACGAGGAAAAAGUUGGAUGGUUUUACCCCUAUGGGGUAUUUGGAUUGUAUGCUUAAUGUAAGGGCAUUUUGGACAUUGGCCAAAUGCAUAUAUAUGUGUAGGAGGGCUGUUUGGGG